CCUACGGGUGGCAGCAGUGGGGAAUAUUGCACAAUGGGGGAAACCCUGAUGCAGCGACGCCGCGUGAGUGAUGAAGGCUUUCGGUAUGUAAAGCUCUAUCAGCAGGGAAGAAAAUGACGGUACCUGACUAAUAAGCCCCGGCUAACUACGUGCCAGCAGCCGCGGUAAUACGUAGGGGGCAAGCGUUAUCCGGAGUUACUGGGUGUAAAGGGAGCGUAGACGGCCAGACAAGUCAGAAGUGAAAGUCCAGGGCUCAACCCUAAGACUGCUUUUGAAACUGUCAGGCUGGAGUGCAGGAGAGGUAAGCGGAAUUCCUAGUGUAGCGGUGAAAUGCGUAGAUAUUAGGAGGAACACCAAUAGCGAAGGCAGCUUACUGGACUGUAACUGACAUUGAGGCUCGAAAGCGUGGGGAGCAAACAGGAUUAGAUACCCCUGUAGUC
rnacentral:rRNA from 1 species